AUGACCUCCACCAUGGCCUGGUCCCCUCUCCUCCUCAGCCUCCUCGCUCACUGCACAGGGUCCUGGGCCCAGUCUGUGCUGACUCAGCCGCCCUCCGUGUCUGGGAGCCUGGGCCAGAGGGUCACCAUCUCCUGCACUGGAAGCAGCUCCAAUAUCGGGGGAUAUGCUGUGAGCUUGUACCAACAGCUCCCAGGAAAAGCCCCCAGAACCGUCAUCUAUUAUGAUAGCAAGCGACCCUCAGGGGUCCCGGAUCGAUUCUCUGGCUCCAAGUCUGGCAGCUCAGGCACCUUGACCAUCACUGGGCUCCAGGCUGAGGACGAGGCUGAGUAUUACUGCCAGUCCUAUGACAGCAGUCUCAGUGCUCACACAGUGCUCCCGGCCUGGUCCUGGGCCCAGUCUGUGCUGACUCAGCCGCCCUCCGUGUCUGGGGCCCUGGGCCAGAGGAUGACCAUCUCCUGCACUGGAAGCAGCUCCAACCCCAGGGGUUAUGCUCUUUAG